UACGUAGGGGGCUAGCGUUGUCCGGAAUCAUUGGGCGUAAAGAGCGCGUAGGCGGCCAGAUAAGUCCGGUGUGAAAGUCACAGGCUCAACCUGUGAAUGCCGCUGGAAACUGUCUGGCUAGAGUCCGGAAGGGGCGAGUGGAAUUCCUGGUGUAGCGGUGAAAUGCGCAGAUAUCAGGAGGAACACCAAUGGCGAAGGCAGCUCGCUGGGACGGUACUGACGCUGAGGCGCGAAGGCGUGGGGAGCGAACAGG
rnacentral:rRNA from 1 species